rnacentral:rRNA from 1 species
CGCGUAGGCGGAUUAAUAAGUCAGUGGUGAAAACCUGCAGCUUAACUGCAGACCUGCCAUUGAUACUGUUAGUCUUGAGUACGGUCAAGGUAGGCGGAAUGUGUAAUGUAGCGGUGAAAUGCUUAGAUAUUACACAGAACACCGAUUGCGAAGGCAGCUUACUGGGCCAUUACUGACGCUGAGGCACGAAAGCGUGGGGAGCGAACAGGAUUAGAUACCCUGGUAGUCC